rnacentral:rRNA from 1 species
UACGGGGGGGGCAAGCGUUGUUCGGAAUUACUGGGCGUAAAGGGCUCGUAGGUGGCCAACUAAGUCAGACGUGAAAUCCCUCGGCUUAACCGGGGAACUGCGUCUGAUACUGGAUGGCUUGAGUUUGGGAGAGGAAUGCGGAAUUCCAGGUGUAGCGGUGAAAUGCGUAGAUAUCUGGAGGAACACCGGUGGCGAAGGCGGCGUUCUGGACUGCAACUGACACUGAGGAACGAAAGCCAGGGGAGCAAACGGG